rnacentral:rRNA from 1 species
UAGCAUAUCAAUAAGCGGAGGAAAAGAAACCAACAGGGAUUGCCUCAGUAACGGCGAGUGAAGCGGCAACAGCUCAAAUUUGAAAUCUGGCCUCUUUGGGGUCCGAGUUGUAAUUUGUAGAGGAUGUUUCGGGUACCGCCUCGGCCUAAAUUUCUUGGAACAGAAUGUCAAAGAGGGUGAGAAUCCCGUCUUGGACCGGCGGUAGGGCCCAUGUGAAACUCCUUCGACGAGUCGAGUUGUUUGGGAAUGCAGCUCAAAAUGGGUGGUAAAUUUCAUCUAAAGCUAAAUAUUGGCCAGAGACCGAUAGCGCACAAGUAGAGUGAUCGAAAGAUGAAAAGCACUUUGAAAAGAGAGUUAAACAGUAUGUGAAAUUGUUGAAAGGGAAGCGCUUGCAACCAGACUUGUGCUCGGCGGUUCCCCCUUCCUUUUGGUUGGGUUAUUCCGUCGUGUCCAGGCCAACAUCGGUUCUGGGGGUCGGUCAAAGGCCUUGGGAAUGUACCUACCCUUCGGGCGUAGACUUAUAGCCCUUGGUGUCAUGCGGCCUCCCGGGACCGAGGAACGCGCUUCGGCUCGGAUGUUGGCGUAAUGGUUGUCAGCGACCCGUCUUGAAACACGGACCAAGGAGUCUAACAUCUAUGCGAGUGUUUGGGUGUCAAACCCGGAACGCGGAAUGAAAGUGAACGGAGGUAGGAAGCUUCGGCUGCACUAUCGACCGAUCCUGAUGUCUUCGGAUGGAUUUGAGUAAGAGCAUAGCUGUUGGGACCCGAAAGAUGAUGAACUAUGCCUGAAUAGGGUGAAGCCAGAGGAAACUCUGGUGGAGGCUCGCAGCGGUUCUGACGUGCAAAUCGAUCGUCAAAUUUGGGUAUAGGGGCGAAAGACUAAUCGAAUCAUCUGGUAGCUGGUUCCUGCGA